rnacentral:lncRNA from 1 species
UUUAUGAAGAACAAAGCAUUCAGUGUUCAAUCAAUUAGGGGUGCAACGUGUUUGAAUUGAGAGAAGUAGGUGGUGUCACAGUUUAGGAAUGGAUACGGUUUGUGAUGGAUAUUUAUUAGGAAAUUUAUUUGCUUUUAGAAACAUGCACAUUUUCAUAUUACUUUGCUAAUGUAGUUUCAACUAGAAAUUCCACAUGUGCUUGUUCGGUUCUUUUCCAUAUGCGCCACUCUUUAUUUUAUCCACCAAGUUUAGGUAUCCU